rnacentral:rRNA from 1 species
UACGGAGGGUGCAAGCGUUAUCCGGAUUUACUGGGUUUAAAGGGUGCGUAGGCGGACAGGUAAGUCAGUGGUGAAAUCCCCGAGCUCAACUUGGGAACUGCCGUUGAUACUAUUUGUCUUGAAUACCGUGGAGGUGAGCGGAAUAUGUCAUGUAGCGGUGAAAUGCUUAGAUAUGACAUAGAACACCGAUGGCGAAGGCAGCCUCCUGGGCCAGCACUGACGCUCAUGCACGAAAGCGUGGGGAGCAAACAGG